UUCAGGUUUUCGGGUUUCAAUCUGGUUCAGGUCUCUAGUUUCAUUCUGGUUCAGGUCUUAAAGGAUGAGUUUAGACCUGCCUCCUCCUCCAUACUUCCUUCAUACCUUCAUUCUGCAGAUUCUUCAGAUGCCUCUCUGCUCUGUGUCCUCUCACCCACAGCAGCUGGUCUUCCUCUCAUCCUGUCUGUCCUCACCUGUCUGUCCUCACCUGUCUGUCUGAAGGAAUAAAAACCCACCUGUCCUCUCAGAGCAGAGUGGGCGGGGCUCUGUGGCCUCCUCUUCUUCUCCUGGUCUUCAUUAUGUCGACCAGAUCAGUUUACAUCAUCUUUGUGUCGCUGGCUGUCGUCCAAAACCCUCAAGAAAAAUAUGAACUGUGGUUUUAACAAAAUAAAAGCCACCCUGAAGGCUGGGAAGAAAUGGGUGAUUUGUUCCCUGAGUUUGUACUGAAGGCAACGCUUCCUCCACAGUUUAUGUUCCAUGAUAACAAAAGAGGAACGUUCUGAAACCGACAUUCAAAAAUUGUUUUCCAGAUGUUAUCAAGGCCUGAGAUGAUUUUUUUUUUUUUUAUAAUAUUCUGCCUGCAAUGUUCUGAGGAUGUUUGUUGAUGAAACACAUUGUAGACAGUUCUUCUAUAAAAUGUUUUCCCAGUGAUAACAAAUGAAGGAUGUUCUCAAUCCAGCAUUCGGAGAAUGUUAAGAUGUUAUCACGGCCUCAAGAGUCUUGUACAGGUACAUAUUAAAAAGGUGGAACAAUCUGCCUGCAAUGAGUGGUUUGGGGAAUGUUGUUGCUGGAACACACUGAAGAAUCUAUUCAGUUCCAUGGUAACAAAGGAAAAAAGUUCUCCAUGUAACAUUCCAUUUUGAGAACAUUAGAGCAGUCUGACGGUCUGACAGUGUUAUCACCCAACAUUUUUAGAACGUCUUUAAGAAAACAUUCUGGGAAUGAAACGAAAACUCCCACUGAAAAUAUUAGUAGAACUUUGCAGAACUUUCUCAGAAUCUUGCAUCAAAACACAUCAUUGUUAAUGAUAACUACCAUGGAACGUUCUCACAACAUCGGAUAACAUUACUUAUGCAUUUUAAUCAUUUUUAACAUUUGAAUCGAACACUCAAAGAAAGUUUUAUGAGUAUUUUCAUUUCCAACGAUGUCCCAGUCAUGUUUUAUUGUUGACUCCAGAGGACGUUGUCUAGAACACAGAUGAUGUUCCAUGAUAACAGAGAAGGAACAUUCUCAAACUAAAAUGUAAAAAACGCUUUCCAGUUGUGAUCAAAGCCUCACAUGACAGAAUGUUUUAUGUACAGAACAGUUUUAAACGUUCCGUUGUGCGAUAUGUUGAAAGUGGAACAUUUUGCCUUUUUGUUAAGGGUUCUUCAAUAAAACAUUCUCACAGUGUUUUCA
ensembl:lncRNA